rnacentral:lncRNA from 10 species
CUACAGCUUCAGGCACCAUGUCCUCAAAUCUUGUUUAAAGAGACGGGGUCCCCCUAUGUUGCCCAGGCUCCUGCUGAUACCUUACUCUACAUUCCUAGCCUCUCAGCAGCAUCUGCCACACUCUCCUCAAUGAGUUGCUUCCCAGCGGCACCCAGAUAUGCCAUGUUUGCAGUUUAGGCUGUGGCAGCAAUGAACAGAGCCUGCCUGAGGACCAGCAAUGGCUUCCUGUCACCUGAAGGGAAAAGGAAAGGAAAUGUGCAUGGUUGCUGAACCUGAACCUGAAUCGAGAAUUCUGCUCCUUUAUCAGGCAGCUAGCUGGAGCAUGGCCAAGGGUUUCUGGAUUCAGGUGGAGAGGCCUCUAAUGAGUCCUGGCACUAAUGUGUGAGCCCGGGGCUGGGAGUCACUGAACCUUAUGGGGCUUCCUCCCAGUCUGUAGAAUGGGGAUGAUUAAGGGAAGACCGCUUGGGCCAGGGAUCACGGUGAGGAUCACAGUGAGCAGAAGUGAGAUUCUGAUAUUCUUUGGAUACUCACACUGGGGCAGGGAGUGGGGGUGGGAAGGGAAGUACAGCAUUUUUAUUUCUUCCUAUCCUGGGGUUAUAUAUGACCAUCCUGAGAACAAAAAUAAUGGGCCGGGCGUGGUGGCU